CUGCGAAUGGCUCAUUAAAUCAGUUAUCGUUUAUUUGAUAGUACCUUACUACUUGGAUAACCGUGGUAAUUCUAGAGCUAAUACAUGCUGAAAACCCCGACUUCCGAAGGGAUGUAUUUAUUAGAUAAAAAACCAACGCCCUUCGGGGCUCCCUGGUGAUUCAUGAUAACUUUACGGAUCGCAUGGCCUUGCGCCGGCGACGGUUCAUUCAAAUUUCUGCCCUAUCAACUUUCGAUGGUAGGGUAUUGGCUUACCAUGGUUUCAACGGGUAACGGGGAAUUAGGGUUCGAUUCCGGAGAGGGAGCCUGAGAAACGGCUACCACAUCCAAGGAAGGCAGCAGGCGCGCAAAUUACCCAAUCCCGACACGGGGAGGUAGUGACAAUAAAUACUGAUACAGGGCUCUUUUGGGUCUUGUAAUUGGAAUGAGUACAAUUUAAACCCCUUAACGAGGAACAAUUGGAGGGCAAGUCUGGUGCCAGCAGCCGCGGUAAUUCCAGCUCCAAUAGCGUAUAUUAAAGUUGUUGCAGUUAAAAAGCUCGUAGUUGAAACUUGGGCCUGGCUGGCAGGUCCGCCUCACCGCGUGUACUUGUCCGGCCGGGUC
rnacentral:rRNA from 1 species